UACGUAGGGUGCGAGCGUUGUCCGGAAUUAUUGGGCGUAAAGAGCUCGUAGGCGGUUUGUCGCGUCUGCUGUGAAAUCCCGAGGCUCAACCUCGGACUUGCAGUGGGUACGGGCAGACUAGAGUGUGGUAGGGGAGACUGGAAUUCCUGGUGUAGCGGUGAAAUGCGCAGAUAUCAGGAGGAACACCGAUGGCGAAGGCAGGUCUCUGGGCAUUAACUGACGCUGAGGAGCGAAAGCAUGGGGAGCGAACAGG
rnacentral:rRNA from 1 species